UUAAGCGACUAAGCGUACACGGUGGAUGCCCUGGCAGUCAGAGGCGAUGAAGGACGUGCUAAUCUGCGAAAAGCGUCGGUAAGGUGAUAUGAACCGUUAUAACCGGCGAUGUCCGAAUGGGGAAACCCAGUGUGAUUCGUCACACUAUCGUUAACUGAAUACAUAGGUUAACGAGGCGAACCGGGGGAACUGAAACAUCUAAGUACCCCGAGGAAAAGAAAUCAACCGAGAUUCCCCCAGUAGCGGCGAGCGAACGGGGAGCAGCCCAGAGUCUGAAUCAGCUUGUGUGUUAGUGGAACGGUCUGGAAAGUCCGACGGUACAGGGUGAUAGUCCCGUACACCAAAAUGCACAGGUUGUGAACUCGAAGAGUAGGGCGGGACACGUGGUAUCCUGUCUGAAUAUGGGGGGACCAUCCUCCAAGGCUAAAUACUCCUGACUGACCGAUAGUGAACCAGUACCGUGAGGGAAAGGCGAAAAGAACCCCGGCGAGGGGAGUGAAAAAGAACCUGAAACCGUGUACGUACAAGCAGUGGGAGCACCUUCGGGUGUGACUGCGUACCUUUUGUAUAAUGGGUCAGCGACUUAUAUUCUGUAGCAAGGUUAACCGUAUAGGGGAGCCGCAGGGAAACCGAGUCUUAACUGGGCGUUAAGUUGCAGGGUAUAGACCCGAAACCCGGUGAUCUAGCCAUGGGCAGGUUGAAGGUUGGGUAACACUAACUGGAGGACCGAACCGACUAAUGUUGAAAAAUUAGCGGAUGACUUGUGGCUGGGGGUGAAAGGCCAAUCAAACCGGGAGAUAGCUGGUUCUCCCCGAAAGCUAUUUAGGUAGCGCCUCGUGAACUCAUCUUCGGGGGUAGAGCACUGUUUCGGCUAGGGGGUCAUCCCGACUUACCAACCCGAUGCAAACUACGAAUACCGAAGAAUGUUAUCACGGGAGACACACGGCGGGUGCUAACGUCCGUCGUGAAGAGGGAAACAACCCAGACCGCCAGCUAAGGUCCCAAAGUCAUGGUUAAGUGGGAAACGAUGUGGGAAGGCACAGACAGCCAGGAUGUUGGCUUAGAAGCAGCCAUCAUUUAAAGAAAGCGUAAUAGCUCACUGGUCGAGUCGGCCUGCGCGGAAGAUGUAACGGGGCUAAACCAUGCACCGAAGCUGCGGCAGCGACACUAUGUGUUGUUGGGUAGGGGAGCGUUCUGUAAGCCUGCGAAGGUGUGCUGUGAGGCAUGCUGGAGGUAUCAGAAGUGCGAAUGCUGACAUAAGUAACGAUAAAGCGGGUGAAAAGCCCGCUCGCCGGAAGACCAAGGGUUCCUGUCCAACGUUAAUCGGGGCAGGGUGAGUCGACCCCUAAGGCGAGGCCGAAAGGCGUAGUCGAUGGGAAACAGGUUAAUAUUCCUGUACUUGGUGUUACUGCGAAGGGGGGACGGAGAAGGCUAUGUUAGCCGGGCGACGGUUGUCCCGGUUUAAGCAUGUAGGCUGAUUGUCCAGGCAAAUCCGGAUAAUCAAGGCUGAGGUGUGAUGACGAGGCACUACGGUGCUGAAGUAACAAAUGCCCUGCUUCCAGGAAAAGCCUCUAAGCAUCAGGUAACAUUAAAUCGUACCCCAAACCGACACAGGUGGUCAGGUAGAGAAUACCAAGGCGCUUGAGAGAACUCGGGUGAAGGAACUAGGCAAAAUGGUGCCGUAACUUCGGGAGAAGGCACGCUGGUGUGUAGGUGAAGUCCCUGCGGAUGGAGCUGAGACCAGUCGAAGAUACCAGCUGGCUGCAACUGUUUAUUAAAAACACAGCACUGUGCAAACACGAAAGUGGACGUAUACGGUGUGACGCCUGCCCGGUGCCGGAAGGUUAAUUGAUGGGGUUAUCCGUAAGGAGAAGCUCUUGAUCGAAGCCCCGGUAAACGGCGGCCGUAACUAUAACGGUCCUAAGGUAGCGAAAUUCCUUGUCGGGUAAGUUCCGACCUGCACGAAUGGCGUAAUGAUGGCCAGGCUGUCUCCACCCGAGACUCAGUGAAAUUGAACUCGCUGUGAAGAUGCAGUGUACCCGCGGCAAGACGGAAAGACCCCGUGAACCUUUACUAUAGCUUGACACUGAACAUUGAGCCUUGAUGUGUAGGAUAGGUGGGAGGCUUUGAAGCGUGGACGCCAGUCUGCGUGGAGCCAACCUUGAAAUACCACCCUUUAAUGUUUGAUGUUCUAACGUUGGCCCCUUACCGGGGUUGCGGACAGUGUCUGGUGGGUAGUUUGACUGGGGCGGUCUCCUCCCAAAGCGUAACGGAGGAGCACGAAGGUUAGCUAAUCCUGGUCGGACAUCAGGAGGUUAGUGCAAUGGCAUAAGCUAGCUUGACUGCGAGCGUGACGGCGCGAGCAGGUGCGAAAGCAGGUCAUAGUGAUCCGGUGGUUCUGAAUGGAAGGGCCAUCGCUCAACGGAUAAAAGGUACUCCGGGGAUAACAGGCUGAUACCGCCCAAGAGUUCAUAUCGACGGCGGUGUUUGGCACCUCGAUGUCGGCUCAUCACAUCCUGGGGCUGAAGUAGGUCCCAAGGGUAUGGCUGUUCGCCAUUUAAAGUGGUACGCGAGCUGGGUUUAGAACGUCGUGAGACAGUUCGGUCCCUAUCUGCCGUGGGCGCUGGAGAAUUGAGGGGGGCUGCUCCUAGUACGAGAGGACCGGAGUGGACGCAUCACUGGUGUUCGGGUUGUCAUGCCAAUGGCACUGCCCGGUAGCUAAAUGCGGAAGAGAUAAGUGCUGAAAGCAUCUAAGCACGAAACUUGCCCCGAGAUGAGUUCUCCCUGAGACUUUAAGUCUCCUGAAGGAACGUUGAAGACGACGACGUUGAUAGGCCGGGUGUGUAAGCGCAGCGAUGCGUUGAGCUAACCGGUACUAAUGAACCGUGAGGCUUAACCUU
rnacentral:rRNA from 1 species